rnacentral:hammerhead_ribozyme from 1 species
AUUCAGUUGACGAGUCCCAGACAAGGCGAAAUACGCGUCCUGCAU